rnacentral:misc_RNA from 1 species
UUUCCGUAGGUGAACCUGCGGAAGGAUCAUUAUCGAGUUAGGGUCUCUGGCCCGACCUCCAACCCUGUGUCUACUAUACCAUGUUGCUUUGGCGGGCCCGCGUUCGUCGCCGCCGAGGGGUUGACCCCCCUGGGCCAGUGCCCGCCGAUAGCCCCCUCAUAAACUCUUGAUCAACCGUGAAUGUCUGAGCAAAAAAAAAUCAAGCACAAAACUUUCAACAACGGAUCUCUUGGUUCUG